GCCCAUGUAGCUCAGGUGGUAGAGCGCAUCCUUGGUAAGGAUGAGGUCAACGGUUCGACUCCGUUCAUGGGCUCCA
rnacentral:tRNA from 1 species